rnacentral:precursor_RNA from 1 species
UGGUAACUCCACCACCGUUGGCGGUGCGCAUGCGCCAACGGGGGCAGAGUUCCUAUU